rnacentral:rRNA from 1 species
UACAGGAGGGUGCAAGCGUUGUUCGGAUUCAUUGGGCGUAAAGGGUGCGUAGGUGGCGCCGUAAGUCAGGUGUGAAAUUUUCGGAGCUUAAACUCCGAAACUGCAUUUGAUACUGCGGUGCUUGAGGACUGGAGAGGAGACUGGAAUUCACGGUGUAGCAGUGAAAUGCGUAGAUAUCGUGAGGAAGACCAGUGGCGAAGGCGGGUCUCUGGACAGUUCCUGACACUGAGGCACGAAGGCUAGGGGAGCAAACGGG